rnacentral:rRNA from 1 species
UGGGGAAUUUUGGACAAUGGGCGAAAGCCUGAUCCAGCAAUGCCGCGUGUGUGAAGAAGGCCUUCGGGUUGUAAAGCACUUUUGUCCGGAAAGAAAUCCUUGGCUCUAAUACAGUCGGGGGAUGACGGUACCGGAAGAAUAAGCACCGGCUAACUACGUGCCAGCAGCCGCGGUAAUACGUAGGGUGCAAGCGUUAAUCGGAAUUACUGGGCGUAAAGCGUGCGCAGGCGGUUUGCUAAGACCGAUGUGAAAUCCCCGGGCUCAACCUGGGAACUGCAUUGGUGACUGGCAGGCUAGAGUAUGGCAGAGGGGGGUAGAAUUCCACGUGUGAGNAGUGAAAUGCGUAGAGAUGUGGAGGAAUACCGAUGGCGAAGGC